AAGGCUUGACAUACACCGGAAAGCCGUAGAGAUACGGCCCCCCUUGUGGUCGGUAUACAGGUGGUGCAUGGCUGUCGUCAGCUCGUGUCGUGAGAUGUUGGGUUAAGUCCCGCAACGAGCGCAACCCUUGUCCUGUGUUGCCAGCGCGUAAUGGCGGGGACUCGCAGGAGACUGCCGGGGUCAACUCGGAGGAAGGUGGGGAUGACGUCGAAUACGUAAC
rnacentral:misc_RNA from 1 species